rnacentral:lncRNA from 1 species
UCGUGAUCAUAGGCCUUCGAGUCGACUAUCCGAAAAGUCAAAAUUCGUAAACAAGGUCGAGAGUUCAGCGUCCGUUGGGAUCUUUCGAGAACACCUUCGAAAUUAAAAUCCCGGCGCCUUUUGUCAACUCCGACGGUUAUAAAUAUAGCGAACAGGGAAGCGAGGCAACCUUUGUGACACGAGCAGUAACAGCUAUAUUCGUAAUCACGAAUCAAGCCAGCAGUUGUGUUAUACGACUAGUGUACACAUUCAUGGGGGACUAGAUAUCGAAUUCAGAUGGCACGACCCAACUUAUAAUAUAUACAAGCGCAAAGAGAAAGAGAAUCCGAUUUGACGUAACAAAAAUCCGCUGGAAAACGCACGAAGAAAGAAGAAAGCAACAUAAUCAUUGGGAUUUAUGCGCAAGUGCCGUUUCUACGGUGAGUGCGAGACUCUGUGAAAGUUGCAUCGGCCCGUAAAAAAAUCGACAAAGAUAUUUCAAAUUCACUGGGCAAAUAGCUAUCGGACACGAGGUAUAACGGCAUUAUCCUCUUAGCUGUAGGUUGAACGCGGUAUCGCGUUAUGCGUUAACUUUCAUUGAUGUGUGCAGGUGCGUGCAUAAAGAGAACCGCUCACUGAUUCCACGUAUCCUCCCUCUUUCUCCCUCUUUUUUAACCCGUUCCACAUCCUGUUCUGCCGCAUUUCGUACACGUAUGCCUCCUUCUCUCUCUUUCUCUCUCUUUCUCUCUCUUCCCUUCCGUCGCUGUCCAGAACUAGUCGCGUUGCGCUAAUUUACACAUGUAUCUACCUCGGGCGCAACAACUUGCGACCGACGUUUCAAUGUUUCGAAGGUAAACGUUAAUGCGUGCAAAUUAACCGAAAUUCGAGCGCAUUCGCACGCACGAAUAAAUCCGACGUUGGUCGUGUUGCGUGUACCUUCGAUUGCACUCUGCAUGGUAAAAUUGUGGCAAAGCGGUGGAUUUUGGUAAACGAGCCGUUUACAGGCCAAGGUGGUUAGCUUUACUUUUUGAAAUUUCCCAAAUUCGUAGGUUGUCGAUGCUUAUCCCGCGUAAUUUCCAUAAAACGUGAAACCUGGAAAAUAGUUUUUCAAACUACUCGGAUUUGUCAAAGAUCGCAAGUAUCGCGCGGUUGCCACGAACGUUAAUUUCUUGUCAAAAGUCCCUACGAUAAAUUCUUCCAUGUUAAUAGCUAGAGCAACAUUUGCAUCGAUGCGUCUAUCGCAACGGAAUAUACGACCAAGAAUUGAUAAGAAAUAUCGAGCGAAACCACUUUAUCUGGCAAAAACUAAUUUUUCACUUUCUGCAAAAAUUGUCGAACUAAUUUCGAACAGACCAACGAUAAUCUACAUUUUCGGAGUUCCACUAGCCGGAAUCUAAUUCCAAAGAAUCAAUCCAAUCGCCGGUGGAUGUAGCUUUCGCGAAUGGAACACGAAGGUGGAAAAAAUUGCGCCGCGAUCCCGUGCGAUUUAAUGAAAUUCCUUGGUUUCGUGGAUAAAGUUGAAACGAAGUUUAUGUUGGGAAACGAUCGAGUUCGCCUCUAUAGCGAAACAGUCGGUGCUUUCGAAAGUUUCGUAUAAUUGAAGCAACGAACAUGCAGAAGAGAGAAAUACGUACUAACCCUACGACGGAUAGGAUGAACGGAAAAUGAUCGGUGCCCGUUGUUUUCCAGCGUGAUGCCUAUUUGAUCGAUUAUAACAUAGACGUAUGAAAGUUUAUAUUACACGCGUGCACGUAUAUACAGUGGAACGCUAAAUUUUGCACGAAGCAUAGAACUGAAAAUUAAAUUGAACGUAUCGCUAAUUUUGUUAUUUACGGUCGGUUGGUUUUGUGUACCAAAUUUACUUGAUAUUAAUGCGAGUGCUGUUCGAAAUUUAAUUACGUAAAAUAUAUGCCGUCGGUAGCUGAGCGAGGACGCGGCUUAACGAACGUGAAAAUAAAUUAGCCUAUACAGACAUUAUGAACUAAUCAAACAUCGAUCGAUAUAACGCGACAUACAUCGUCAAAAAAUUGUACGCCUAAACUUUGUGAUCGAAAAGGUUUUUAUUUGUAUAAAACUGGUAAAAGAAUAUUUUGAAAGGUGACACGAAACGAGAUUACGUUUCCUACACUUUGUAGCAUUUUCAAGACGCAAAAAUCAAUAAUCAUAAUGUAGAUUCGUGUACGAAUACCUUUAUCCGUUAAUUUCUCGAUACUCGCUUUGUUUCUUUCGUUGGAAUAAGAAAGAUCGCCAGAUAUUUCCACGCACUGGACUAAAGCUGAAACGCGCAACAAUCACCUCGGGCGAAUUGAUUAUCGAGCGUGUCCAUGUUAACCGAGAAGGUAAGAAGUGUUGCAAAAUUAAUCCCCGUUUUAUUUCGUCCUCGACAGAGUAGAAAAUUAAUUCUUUGGUUGCACUCGCCACAUUUUCCAAAGGGUAGAUCCCUGACGCGUCCAGACAUCAUAAAAAUGCGAAUCAGAGC